GGCGGGGUAGCUCAGUUGGUAGAGCAAUGGAUAAUCACUGUAGGUUCGAGUCCUACAUCCUUCA
rnacentral:tRNA from 1 species